CGUGAGGGAAAGGUGAAAAGAACCCCGGGAGGGGAGUGAAAGAGAACCUGAAACCCUGCACUUACAAGCUGUAGGAGCACAUUAUUUGUGUGACUGCGUACUUUUUGUAGAACGGGCCAACGAGUUACGUUGUGUAGCAAGGUUAAGCACUUAAGGUGUGGAGCCGUAGCGAAAGCGAGUCUUAAAUGGGCGUCCAGUUACCCGACGUAGACCCGAAACCAGGCGACCUAUCCAUGAGCAGGUUGAAGCGAAAGUAAAAUUUCGUGGAGGACCGAACCCACGUACGUUGAAAAGUGCGGGGAUGACUUGUGGAUAGCGGUGAAAUUCCAAUCGAGCCUGGAGAUAGCUGGUUCUCCCCGAAAUAGCUUUAGGGCUAGCCUCAAGCUUAGAGAAACGGAGGUAGAGCACUGAAUGUCCUAGGGGGUAUUGCACUUACCGAAGACUAUCAAACUCCGAAUGCCGUAUUCUUUUGCUUGGGAGUCAGACUAUGGGUGAUAAGAUUCAUAGUCAAGAGGGCAACAGCCCAGAUCGUCAGCUAAGGUCCCUAAAUGUAAGUUAAGUGGUAAAGGAUGUGGAAUUGCACAGACAACCAGGAUGUUGGCUUAGAAGCAGCCACUCAUUUAAAGAGUGCGUAAUAGCUCACUGGUCGAGUGAUUCUGCGCCGAAAAUUUCCGGGGCUAAAACUUACUACCGAAGCUACGGCAUCAUUAUGAUGGGUAGGGGAGCUUUCUAUGCGGCUUGAAGCAUGACCGUAAGGACAUGUGGACUGCAUAGAAGUGAGAAUGUUGGCAUGAGUAGCGAGAUGUGGGUGAGAAUCCCACAGGCCGUAAACCCAAGGUUUCCAGGGGAAGGUUCGUCCGCCCUGGGUUAGUCAGGACCUAAGCCGAGGCCGAAAGGCGUAGGUGAUGGACAACAGGUUGAUAUUCCUGUACCACCAAUAACCGUUUGAGAAAUGGGAUGACACAGUAGGAUAAGCUAACCGCACUGUUGGUUAUGUGCGGGCAAGUAUUGAGGCAGUUCCGAUAGGCAAAUCCGUCGGAAUAAUGCUGGGGUACGAUGCGGAGCGAAAUUUAGUAGCGAAGUAGCUGAUUUCACACUGUCGAGAAAAGUCUCUAUCGAGGUUAAAGGUGCCUGUACCGCAAACCGACACAGGUGGGUGAGGAGAGUAUCCUAAGGCCAGCGAGAGAACUGUUGUUAAGGAACUCGGCAAAAUGACCCCGUAACUUAGGGAGAAGGGGUGCCUUCGAAAGAAGGCCGCAGAGAAUAGGCCCAAGCGACUGUUUACCAAAAACAUAGGUUUCUGCUAAGUCGCAAGACGAUGUAUAGGAGCUGACGCCUGCCCGGUGCUGGAAGGUUAAGGGGAUCUGUUAGAGCAAUCGAAGCAGUGAACUUAAGCCCCAGUAAACGGCGGCCGUAACUAUAACGGUCCUAAGGUAGCGAAAUUCCUUGUCGGGUAAGUUCCGACCCGCACGAAAGGCGUAACGAUUUGGGCACUGUCUCAACAACAGACUCGGUGAAAUUGUAAUACCGGUGAAGAUGCCGGUUACCUGCGACAGGACGGAAAGACCCCAUGGAGCUUUACUGUAGCUUGACAUUGAGUCUCGGUGCUACAUGUACAGGAUAGGUGGGAGACUAUGAAGCAUGGACGUCAGUCUGUGUGGAGUCAUCCUUGGGAUACCACCCUUGUAGUACUGGGAUUCUAACCAGAGGCCAUGAAUCUGGUCUUGGGACACUGUCAGGUGGACAGUUUGACUGGGGCGGUCGCCUCCCAAAAAGUAACGGAGGCGCUCAAAGGUUCUCUCAGUACGGUCGGAAAUCGUACGAAGAGUGUAAAGGCAAAAGAGAGCUUGAUUGCAAGACAUACAGGUCGAGCAAGGACGAAAGUCGGACUUAGUGAUCCGGUGGUUCCGCAUGGAAGGGCCAUCGCUCAACGGAUAAAAGCUACCCUGGGGAUAACAGGCUGAUCUCCCCCAA
rnacentral:rRNA from 1 species